rnacentral:rRNA from 1 species
UGGGGAAUUUUGGACAAUGGGGGCAACCCUGAUCCAGCAAUGCCGCGUGUGUGAAGAAGGCCUUCGGGUUGUAAAGCACUUUUGUCCGGAAAGAAAACGCCGUGGUUAAUACCCGUGGCGGAUGACGGUACCGGAAGAAUAAGCACCGGCUAACUACGUGCCAGCAGCCGCGGUAAUACGUAGGGUGCAAGCGUUAAUCGGAAUUACUGGGCGUAAAGCGUGCGCAGGCGGUCCGCUAAGACAGAUGUGAAAUCCCCGGGCUUAACCUGGGAACUGCAUUUGUGACUGGCGGGCUAGAGUAUGGCAGAGGGGGGUAGAAUUCCACGUGUAGCAGUGAAAUGCGUAGAGAUGUGGAGGAAUACCGAUGGCGAAGGCAGCCCCCUGGGCCAAUACUGACGCUCAUGCACGAAAGCGUGGGGAGCAAACAGGAUUAGAUACCCUGGUAGUCCACGCCCUAAACGAUGUCAACUAGUUGUGGGAUUCAUUCCUUAGUAACGUAGCUAACGCGUGAAGUUGACCGCCUGGGGAGUACGGUCGCAAGAUUAAAACUCAAAUGAAUUGACGGGGUC